rnacentral:rRNA from 1 species
AGAGUUUGAUCAUGGCUCAGGAUGAACGCUGGCGGCGUGCUUAACACAUGCAAGUCGAACGGGCUCAUAUUGAAACCUAGUGAUGUAUGAGUUAGUGGCGGACGGGUGAGUAACGCGUGGAGAACCUGCCGUAUACUGGGGGAUAACACUUAGAAAUAGGUGCUAAUACCGCAUAAGCGCACAGCUUCGCAUGAAGCAGUGUGAAAAACUCCGGUGGUAUACGAUGGAUCCGCGUCUGAUUAGCUGGUUGGCGGGGUAACAGCCCACCAAGGCGACGAUCAGUAGCCGGCCUGAGAGGGUGAACGGCCACAUUGGGACUGAGACACGGCCCAAACUCCUACGGGAGGCAGCAGUGGGGAAUAUUGCACAAUGGGGGAAACCCUGAUGCAGCGACGCCGCGUGAGUGAAGAAGUAUUUCGGUAUGUAAAGCUCUAUCAGCAAGGAAGAAAAUGACGGUACCUGACUAAGAAGCCCCGGCUAACUACGUGCCAGCAGCCGCGGUAAUACGUAGGGGGCAAGCGUU